rnacentral:rRNA from 1 species
UACGUAGGGGGCAAGCGUUGUCCGGAUUUAUUGGGCGUAAAGAGCGUGUAGGCGGCCAGGUAGGUGGGUUGUGAAAACUGGAGGCUCAACCUUCAGAGGUCGACCGAAACCAUCUGGCUAGAGUCCGGGAGAGGAGAGUGGAAUUCCUGGUGUAGCGGUGAAAUGCGCAGAUAUCAGGAAGAACACCCGUGGCGAAAGCGGCUCUCUGGGACGGUACUGACGCUGAGACGCGAAAGCGUGGGGAGCGAACAGG